UACGGGGGGGGCAAGCGUUGUUCGGAAUUACUGGGCGUAAAGGGCUCGUAGGUGGCCAACUAAGUCAUACGUGAAAUCCCUCGGCUUAACCGGGGAACUGCGUCUGAUACUGGAUGGCUUGAGUUUGGGAGAGGGAUGCGGAAUUCCAGGUGUAGCGGUGAAAUGCGUAGAUAUCUGGAGGAACACCGGUGGCGAAGGCGGCAUCCUGGACCAAUACUGACACUGAGGAGCGAAAGCCAGGGAGCAAAGCGGG
rnacentral:rRNA from 1 species